rnacentral:rRNA from 1 species
AAUCAACGCUGGCGGCGUGCCUAACACAUGCAAGUCGAACGCGAAAGUCCCGCAAGGGGCAAGUAGAGUGGCGAACGGGUGAGUAAUGCGUGGGUGACCUACCUCUGCGUGGGGGAUAACGUCUCGAAAGGGACGCUAAUACCGCAUGACAUCCUGCCUUUGGAUAGGCGGAGAUCAAAGCCGGGGACCGCAAGGCCUGGCGCGUGAUGAGGGGCCCACGUCCGAUUAGCNGUUGGUGGGGUAAUGGCCUACCAAGGCGACGAUCGGUAGCCGGCCUGAGAGGGCGGACGGCCACACUGGGACUGAGACACGGCCCAGACUCCUACGGGAGGCAGCAGUGGGGAAUUGUUCGCAAUGGGCGCAAGCCUGACGACGCAACGCCGCGUGGAGGAUGAAGAAUUUCGGUUCGUAAACUCCUGUCGAGCGGGACGAACAUCACAGAGGUGAAUAGCCUCAGUGACUGACGGUACCGCGAGAGGAAGCCCCGGCU